rnacentral:rRNA from 1 species
GACGAACGCUGGCGGCGUGCCUAAUACAUGCAAGUAGAACGCUGAAGGAGGAGCUUGCUUCUCUGGAUGAGUUGCGAACGGGUGAGUAACGCGUAGGUAACCUGCCUGGUAGCGGGGGAUAACUAUUGGAAACGAUAGCUAAUACCGCAUAAUAGUAGAUGUUGCAUGACAUUUGCUUAAAAGGUGCAAUUGCAUCACUACCAGAUGGACCUGCGUUGUAUUAGCUAGUUGGUGAGGUAACGGCUCACCAAGGCGACGAUACAUAGCCGACCUGAGAGGGUGAUCGGCCACACUGGGACUGAGACACGGCCCAGACUCCUACGGGAGGCCGCAGUAGGGAAUCUUCGGCAAUGGACGGAAGUCUGACCGAGCAACGCCGCGUGAGUGAAGAAGGUUUUCGGAUCGUAAAGCUCUGUUGUAAGAGAAGAACGAGUGUGAGAGUGGAAAGUUCACACUGUGACGGUAGCUUACCAGAAAGGGACGGCUAACUACGUG